CAGCAGCCGCGGUAAUACAGAGGAUCCAAGCGUUAUCCGGAUUUAUUGGGUUUAAAGGGUGCGUAGGUGGGAUGAUAAGUCAGUGGUGAAAUCCUACAGCUUAACUGUAGAACUGCCAUUGAAACUAUUGUUCUUGAAUACAAAUGAAGUGGGCGGAAUAUGUUAUGUAGCGGUGAAAUGCUUAAAUAUAACAUAGAACACCAAUUGCGAAGGCAGCUCACUAAGUUGUUAUUGACACUGAGGCACGAAAGCAUGGGGAGCAAACAGGAUUAGAUACCCUGGUAGUCCAUGCUGUAAACGAUGAUUACUGGAUGUUGGCGAUAUACAGCCAGUGUCCAAGCGAAAGUUUUAAGUAAUCCACCUGGGGAGUACGAUCGCAAGAUUGAAACUCAAAGGAAUUGACGGGGGCCCGCACAAGCGGAGGAGCAUGUGGUUCAGUUCGAUGAUACGCGAGGAACCUUACCUAGGCUUAAAUGUAGAAAGACCGGUUGGGAGACCAUCUUCUCUUAGAAGCAUCUACAAGGUGCUACAUGGCUGUCGUCAGCUCGUGCCGUGAGGUGUCGGGUUAAGUCCCAUAACGAGCGCAACCCUUAUCUUUAGUUGCCAUCAGGUAAUGCUGGGAACUCUAAAGAAACUGCCUACGCAAGUAGUGAGGAAGGUGAGGAUGACGUCAAGUCAGCACGGCCCUUAUGCCUAGGGCUACACACGUGCUACAAUGGUCAGUACAGAGAGUCGCUACUUGGUGACAAGAUGCUAAUCCCAAAAACUGAUCCCAGUUCGGAUCGAAGUCUGCAAUUCGACUUCGUGAAGUUGGAUUCGCUAGUAAUCGCAGAUCAGCAAUGCUGCGGUGAAUACGUUCCCGGGCCUUGUACACACCGCCCGUCAAGCCAUGGAAGUUAGUGGUACCUGAAGUCGAUAACCGAAAGGAAUCGCCUAAGGUAAAAUUAGUAACUAGGGCUAAGUCGUAACAAGGUAGCCGUA
rnacentral:rRNA from 1 species